UGCGCAGGCGGGGCAAUAAGUCAGUGGUGAAAUCCUGCGGCUUAACCGUAGAACUGCCAUUGAUACUGUUGCCCUUGAGUAUAGUUGAGGUGGGCGGAAUAUGUAAUGUAGCGGUGAAAUGCAUAGAUAUUACAUAGAACACCAAUUGCGAAGGCAGCUCACUAAGCUAUCACUGACGCUGAGGAACGAAAGCGUGGGGAGCGAACAGGAUUAGAUACCCUGGUAGUCC
rnacentral:rRNA from 1 species